rnacentral:misc_RNA from 1 species
GGUCAACAAGAAUGGUUGGUGAGUGUCCUUUGGCUAUUGUGCUGCUUACAAUCUCUUGCUUCUAUAGUUAUUGCCAGCUUUUGUAUCGCAAACUUGUAGUUGCCUAAAUGAGAGUGAAUCUACAGCUAAAUAUGCCAUAAAGUAAUGUUUCCUUUGAAAGCCACAUUGAUUCUUAGGUUACCGCAAAAGAUUCAUUAGAUUGUUAUCAUUUUUUGGGGUCAAUUUUAAGACAUGUUUAUGAAUCCUGCU